ACGGUCUGCCUGUUGCCCCAGUUCACUGCCACACCCUCACCCCACACAUACACAACAGACCUCUCCUUUAGUUUUCAAGCCACUAGGCAAUUGAAAUGUUUGUGUGAAUUUUCACAUAAAGUCUAGUCUUUGUGUCAAAUGUGCAAUAAGCCUCAACAUUUGCAUAGAGCAAACAAGGAAGUCUUGUUAGGAAAUUUGUUCCUUAGGAGCUUAUGUCUUAAAUUGGACUGGUGCCUUUUGUUGUCACAGUUGUUUUUAUAAUGACAUGCACAUAGGUUUGCCUUUCUGAAUUCUUAUGUUGAAUCUACUGUUGGUUGGCACCUGCCACUAGCAUAAAUUUCUACUCUUUCAAUCAGUGGGACAAAUUCACAUGCCAGUCGAGGCUGAUUCACCUGUUUAGGGCUGUGAGUGAUUUGAAGAGGACUACCUUCUCAGCACUUCUUUGGCCCAGAGUCACAGGAACCCUCUUCUCAAGAAUGUGGUCCUGGGACCUCUGAGAGGGUCUGGAAUUAGGGUUCAGGUACCAUCCAUCUGUUACGUGCUUUGAAGAUGCCACUCCAUCUGUGGGAUUCAAUUUACAUAAACUGAAGACUAUUCUUCUGAGUUGAAGUGAGGAGAGGCAUCAAUCACACUGGAAAAUUAUUUGAUCUCCUGGAAGCAAAAAGUCCACCAUGAAGUUGUUCUUGCCAUGGACUUCUAGAGGAGCUGACUGUCCUUUGGGAAGCUACAAAUACAGCCUUAAAAUCUGUUAGCAGGGAAGAGAGGCUUUUUCUGAGUGAUCAGUGAUGACUGCACUCUGUGCGAGCAGGAAUGCUUAUUGUUUUGGACUCUGCUGUUCCCCUGGCACUGGAACUGUGCUUGGCACACAGAAGGCACUCAACAAACAUUUGAUGAAUGCAUGAACUGAUGAAUAAACAAACAAAUAAAUAAAUGGAUGCAUGAAUUCUGCUUUUGUUUCUGGCAGAAUGGCUAUGAUAUGGUUUGGCUCUCUGUCCCCACCAAAUCUCAUCUUGAACUGUACUCCCAUAAUUCCCAUGUGUUGCGGGAGGGACCCAGAGGGAGAUAAUUGAAACAUGGGGGUGGUUUCCCCCAUACUGUUCUCAUGGUAGUGAAUAAGUCUCACGAGAUCUGAUAGUUUUAUCACGGGUUUCCGCUUUUGCGUCUUCCUCAUUCUUUAUUUGCCUGCUGCCAUCCGUGUAAGAUGGGACUUGCUCCUCUUUGCCUUCCGCCAUGACUGUGAGGCUUCCCCAUCCACGUGGAACU
rnacentral:lncRNA from 1 species